UCCGUAGGCGGAUCGAUAAGUCAGAGGUGAAAUCCCACAGCUUAACUGUGGAACUGCCUUUGAUACUGUUGGUCUUGAGUUAUAUGGAAGUAGAUAGAAUGUGUAGUGUAGCGGUGAAAUGCAUAGAGAUUACACAGAAUACCGAUUGCGAAGGCAGUCUACUACGUAUAUACUGACGCUAAUGGACGAAAGCGUGGGGAGCGAACAGGAUUAGAUACCCUGGUAGUCC
rnacentral:rRNA from 1 species